CUCAAAGAGAAGGUUGGAAAUGAUCAGUAUAACUGCUGAUACACUGAAGAAAACACAAUGAUUCAGAGCAACAAGAUUAUGAUUUUAUAUUCUUCAAUAUAACCAAACACACAAAAUGAUCAUCUUAUUCCUAAGCAUUACUUUUAACGCAAUUCUGGUUUCAGGUUCCUCUCUCAGCGACAAAGUCUACCAGACUCCAGCUGACAUGUACAAGACUCCAGAAGGAACAGCCACAAUCAGCUGUUCACACAGUAUUGACAGCUACAACCGAAUCCUAUGGUACAAGCAAAUGGAGAACAGACAGCUCCAGUUCCUGGGAUACAUGUAUAAAAACAACGAAAACCCAGAGACUGGAGUGGCUGUAAAGAUGGAUGGGAGUGCAGAUAAAGACCAGAACUGCACAUUAACAAUUAAAGGACUCAGCCUGAGCAGCAGUGCAGUGUACUUCUGUGCUGCUAGUUUACACAGUGCUACAUAUCGCUGCUCCUCAGUACAAAAACCUCAUCACACAUUUUUCAUCUCUGUAUAACAGCUCACAGCCCCUUACACCUGUGUUCCCUCCUCAGUAUGUCAUUACUCAGAUCUUUAUACUGAGCCAGAGGUGUGUAAGUGGUAGUUAACAUGAGAGUUAUAAUUUUUAGAAGAACAGGAUGCACAAUGACACCGCCCACAAUGACUUGGGAGGGUUUACUCAAAAAGAAGAUAGGAAAUACUCAGUAUAACUGUUUCAUUCAUUGCAACGACAAAUUGAUGAUCGUAUUUUUGUCAAAAUAACCAAA